GUAACAGUGGCACAAGGCCAGGCCAACACAACCAGGGAAAGCCUUGAUUUUAUAUCUGAUGGGGAAUGAGUAGAAGUUCACUGGCUAUGUAGGGAAUGCUUGUCAGGGAAGAUGAGCACCAAGAGCUAAAGCCCAGAAGUAGAAAGGAGUAAAGAGCCAAAGAGGCUGUUGAAUAAGCCAACCCAGGUCUUGUGUCUGAGCACAGGGAACACAGGGUGGCGUGAGAAGAGACUGACCAGUGGGCAGGGCCUGGGUCUUACAGGGCCAUGUCAGACAUACCAUGUCUUUUACCAUUUGUUUUAACAGCUGCAUCAUGAAUGCGUUCCAAGCCAGCCAUGAGAAUCUAAUUUUGACAAGAUCACCAAAAUUUUGGGGAGCUGAAAGGUCAUUAGAAGGGUCGUCAGUCCAUGGGAGAGAGCAGCUGGGAAGCCAUUGUGAAAACCAGUUAUAAUUUCAGAGAAGAUGCAGAAAGAAAGAGGAUCUUUUGGAAAACCUCAAUCAGCAUCUGCAAAUCAUCUACAGAAUCUAUGAAACCUGUCCAAGUGAAGAUGGCUGCUGCAGGCAACGCGAUUGCACAAUGUUCUUUCAUAUGCCUAAUCUCUUCUUUCUCAACAUAAGGCUUUAUACAUACAUGCCAUCAUAUCAUGCCAGAAUUUGUCAUCUCUACACUAUCACCUUUUCCUGAUGGGGUAAUGAGGAGAGUCUAGAUUCCUGUAGUUCAAGCACUGUGUCUAUUCUCCAGGUUAGCUAGAAGGUGAUUUCUCAAAAAUAGAGCCAUUUGUAAUUGUC
rnacentral:lncRNA from 1 species